rnacentral:rRNA from 1 species
GUGCCAGCAGCCGCGGUAAGACAGAGGGUGCAAACGUUGUUCGGAAUUACUGGGCGUAAAGCGAGUGUAGGCGGUCUGCUAAGUCGGGUGUGAAAGCCCCGGGCUCAACCCGGGAAGUGCACUCGAAACUGGCAGGCUAGAGUAUCGGAGAGGUUGGUGGAAUUCUCGGUGUAGAGGUGAAAUUCGUAGAUAUCGAGAGGAACACCGGUGGCGAAGGCGGCCAACUGGACGAAUACUGACGCUGAGACUCGAAAGCGUGGGGAGCAAACAGGAUUAGAUACCCCGGUAGUCC